GGGAGAAGGGGAGAGGAUGGGGAAAGGGUUUGGGGAGCCCGGAGGUGGAAAAGAAGAAAACAAAACUUGUUUUUUCUUUUCUACUUUCAUUUUCCUGAAACACGGGAGAAAGUCCCGAAGUGCUGGGAGGAGACGGCGGAACUGAAAGCAUCGGGCUGAGAGCGACCUUCUUCCAAGGAAAAGCAGAGCAAAGAGGAAGGGAAAAACUCUGGUUCCGAUUUCCCACUCGCCCUACUGAUGUUCUGCAGCCCUUCAGAGCACAAACCCUCAGCGCCCAUUAAAAAGCCAUUUACCCACUGAAAAGCAGGCGUCAGGACAAUGGAAAACCCUCCUACGAACCACCAAGGGUGGAACCCAGUGCUUCAGUUUAACCUGGGAAGCACUGAGAUGGCUGGCACUGCGUUUCUGCUCCUGCGCCGCAUCGCCACACAGCCCGAUUUCUCCCUCUUUUUGGGAGUAAGCGUUGCUCCAGAAACUGUGGGGUUUAGAAAUGCAGGAUGUGGGUCAUCGCAGCAAGGAGGCAGAGCUUCACCUGUUGUGUAGUGGCUCGGAGGAUGCAAAAGGUUUCUUUGUUCUUCACCGUGACAAGCAGAGCUUUCUUCCUUAUUGUCACUGUUUGGCAUCGUAAGCGGAAUCUUCUUUCAUCUUUUCCCCUGCGAUGAGGAUGCUGUGACGAUGCUCUGGGAGAGGCAGCGAUUCACUCUGCUCCAGGAUUUAGCUCUGCCCUCAGCUGAGCCACAGAUGCUGCGGAGAGGUUGCCAGGGAUGCAGACACAAUCCUACCUCCAGGUUUUUGCUGCAUCCCCGCUGCUGAGCGAGAUAUGGAUCAUACCCGGGAUUAUCGCCCAUCUGACUGGGAGGAAGGGAUGCUGAGAUGUCGGGUUGCAAGGGAGAUGGAUCUGGGCGCCAGGUUUUCGUGCCGUCUCGGUGCCGUGGGGUGGGAGUGGGGUGUGGGGACCCCCCCAGUGAUGCGGGGUGCGGGAUUUUUCAGUUCUGGUGCCGCUGCUGUGCUCACGGUGAGGUCUCUGUGGCGCAAUGGACGAGCGCGCUGGACUUCUAAUCCAGAGGUUCCGGGUUCGAGUCCCGGCAGAGAUGAUCUCCAGGCAGGUGUCUCUUUUAUUUUACGUCUAUUCCUCCAUAAAUCCCCAUCCUGCUCCUUUACGACACCCCAGAAGGCUUCAGGCGGGAGAUGAUGACUUUUGACGGCGGCGUCUCGGCCGCUGACGCUCGCAGUGCUCGCGUGCUCCCCAUCCAAGUUCUGCUUGUUGGACCUGUCUGAUGCUUUAAGCAAGCUGCUGUGUUUCCAGUAGAAAUCCGGUGGUCAGGCAGUGGUUUGGAACCUUGUGUUGGUAUUUCGUUUGAUAAGUGUGGCUUGUCUUUCAAAUAUAUGGACAAAGGAAAAACAACAGUAGGUCGAUAUUCCGAGUUCUUACCUUACAGAAAUCUUCUGCAAAUGCCCUUAUUUUUCAUGUUUUCAUGUUGAUGAUGCACGUUUGCUGGCAGCCACCUCCAUAUCCCCAUGGAGGUUCAUCUUUGUAAGUAGCAAACAUUGACGAAAGACAAAGAUCCUGACCCUACAGUAGAGCUUCUUCCCCCUCUGUGACCUUUGAAGACUUUUCUCCACUUGAAAAGUGGGUUUCUUUCCAUUGGUGUCAGCAUAGAAUCUCCUUCUGGGAAGGCUAAAAAAAAAAAGUCCAAAGAAAUAAUGUGCAUGACCUCAGGGGUUGGAUGUGAAUAGAGCCCAAAACAGUGGGGAAGGAGGGCAGGAAAAGCCUUACAUGAGAAGGUUCCAUCACAGUCCCAUUCCUCUGGAUGGAGGGGUGAAAAAAAUAUGAGUGCCAGAGCCCCAGCUCCAUGUCCAGCAACUCCAUCACCCUGAGCAUCUCCUAUGGUGAGUGCUGAGAACUGCUCUGUGCUGUCCUGGGACAAACAGCCCCGUGCGUAUGGGAGGCAGAACUGUUGGCUUUGUGGGCUGAGCUUUGGGGAAGGGGCUUCUUGUUUCCAUAUCUCUUCAAAGUACAUCUUCCUAAAGAAGAUGUUCCAACCUCUGCAAUGGGCAAGGCUGCCUUCAGCUAGGUCUUGGAUCUUGGAUCUUACACCUCUUCCUGCAUCCUUCCAGCUGCUGCCACCAGAACCUGGCGAUGUCCUGAUGGCAGCAGCUGGGAGAAAGGCAGAAUCUGAGUGGCUGGGUGCAGGAGUUGGGCAGAACGCGCUCAGCUCUGAGGUCCGUGAGGGUGGUUUGUUUCCCAGGUGUCUCCUCACUCUUCUGCAGCCCUGUCAGAGCGCUGCUGCUGCUGGCAGCGCUGGGGAUCCUAUUGCUGGGGGUGGUUGUUGUCCAUGUCCUCACUGCAUGCAGCAGAGAGCCAAAAGGAAUGGAGCACCAAACUCCCAUGGAAGCAUCUGCAUCAGUCGUGCUCCAGGAGAGGAUGUUUGAGGCUGUCCCUGCAAGGGCACCCAGGAAGUGAGCUGAAUGAGUGUCCCCGCAUCCUUCCCCCAACCUGACCUGUCCACGUUGCAGUAAAGAGAUGCUUCCGUUGGUUUUACUGUGUACAUUGCCCAAUAAAGCAUUGCUGAGCAUGGGGAGUACCAGACGCCGUGACACCCCCAGUACAACUAAACACCCGAGCACUCUUCCCCCAUCGCUUCGGCACUUCUUUUGAACCGUUUUCCUCUCCGCACUAAGCCGAGAACGCACCCGCUUGGCCCUCCCAGCGGUCCUUUCGUGCUCCCGGGUGCGUCUGAUUGGUGCAGCGCUGCAAUAUAUUUGCAUGGCCACGCCCUUUAUAGCCGCGCCCGUCCAUCCCGGCCACCCGGAAGUCCCUUUCCUCCCAUUGGAGCCUCUCUGCCCUGCCGCUCUCUAUGGUCAGCGGUCUUCCACGUGGCCCUACUUGUUCUGGGGGACCCCUGGAGACCCACCAGGUCCUCCCCGCUGUUCUUGGGAUGCCUCCAUGGGUGGGACACCCACACUGCUCUGUGCAGCAGCGCCAGGGCCUCACUGCCCUCUGAGUAAAGAAUUUAAGGUCCCUUGCAGCCCAACCCCUUCCGUUGUUCCAUGGUUCCGUGGUUUCUAAGGCCCGUUCCAACCCAACCGUUCUGUGAUUCCAUGGAUCUAUGAUCUUCCAGAUCUCUUCCCACCCAACUGUGCUGCGAUUCCAUGGUUCUGUUGUCUUUACAGUCCCCUCCAACCCAACCCCUUCUGUAUUUCCGUGCUUCUAAGAUCUUUAAAGGUCCAAGGGAGGAACGUUAUGGAGCUCCUGCAGUAGCUGCGCACCACUGCUCUGCUGGUGUUGGCUGAUCAUUCACCCUCUGGAGGUGAAGCUGUGCUAUCAGUCGCUGCAAGCCAAGGCAGUGCCAGUGGCAUCAGCAAAGUAAGAAAUAUCCUGCUCUGCUCCGUGCUCCUUGGACCAUACUGGGAAUGCUGGUCUCGCUUUUUGCCAUUCAGAAAGGCUGGAGAUGGACUGGAGAGGAUUCAAAGCAGAACCGUGGGAUGCUUCAAGGGCUGGUGAGGGGCUGGACUUGUUCAGCCUGGAGAAAAGGCUCAGGAGACCUCAUCUGUGUGUCCCAGUAUUUGAUGACUGUCUGCAAAGGAGUCGGACGCUCCUCAUUUACAAGGAACCAUGCACAAAAAAAUGGGAAAUGGGCACCAGUGGCACUGGAGGAGAUUCCAGUUGGUCCCAAGAGGACAAUUUUGUCACUAUGGUAACAUGCAGACGCUGCAACAACUCCCCAGGGCCAUGGUGGAAACUAAUACUGGAGAAUGUAAGGUUUGGAUACACAAAGUGUUGGAUGCUCUGCUAUGGGAUGUGCUUUUAUCACAAUAGAUUGGACCAGCUGACCUCUGAGGUCCCCUCCAACCUGAGCUUUGAUUUCUCCCGUCUCUCUGAUUUCUGUAAUUCCUAUUAAACCUCACAGUGUUGACUCCUGGCAUCUCAGGACAACCAUCCUUUGGGCUGUACCAAAGCAUCUCCAUUAACAUCUAACAAUGUACAGAGCUGGGAAAUGGCAAAAAUCUGCUUCAAUCCCCAAAGCUGCUGAGAUUUUGCUGCUUAGAGACAGAAGUGGGGCCGGGCAGGUUCGCCCCAUCGGGAUAACAAUGCUGUGCUUUCCGUGCAGGCAUUGCAAUCAGCAGUGUGCUUCCACGCUGUCACACACAACUGAGACAGAAAGUCAAUUGUUAGUCACUUUAUUGGCAGGAGUUCAUAUUUACAACAGAAUAAUAGGAAGUAGGAAAGAAGCUAGUCAUUACAAAGCUCCUCAGUGUUUGCACAGCUUUUAUGGCUCAGGAUGGCAUCAUCCAUCUGCCGGGGGGGGGAAAAAAAUCUGUGUAUAAAAUCACAGCCGUACUAAAAACAGAGAUGACCGCUUCGUGCAGAGGAUGUAGCUUCCAAUGCAGUGACGGUGUUCUUUUCUUCGUCUCAGCCGUCGUGUCUGCAAAGAGGGGAAGAGGUUAGGAAGUGAUUCCCAUGUCCUCCCAUUGUGUGUUGGAUGGACUCGAGGCCGUGGGGGAAUUCAGAGCACACCUGGAUGCCAACAGGGUUUGGGCUCCGGGGUCGUGGAGUUCCCCAUGCUGGAGGCUGCAUGCAGAGUGUGGGAUGGGUGGGUGCUUUGGGAAACACCCUAAAAGUCCCUUUGGCUUUUGGUUUUUACACAGUUCCUGUGGUGAUUCACGCUUCUUUGGCUGUCGUUAGCGCAGAGCUGGGUGCCCAGAGGUCUGAUGGUUGUGGAAAGGUGCUUCAGAGCGCUGCUGCUUCGGAGAGAAUUGCGUUUUGCUGGCUUAAAGGGGUGCUUGGAGUGAGUGCUUGGCUUUGUACCUUUGGUGCAUCAUAGCAGGAGGUGCAGGAGGCUGAGGAGGAGGAGCAGAGGCAGAUGGCACUGCAGGGGUAAUCCCUCCGCGUCCAAAUAUUCCUGGGAAGUCAAUGAAAAGAAAUGGGUCAAAACCAGCAUGGUUUGGAGCUGUGUUGUGCGGUGGCAGAAUUCAUGCCCUGCCCAACUGCUCUGCCUUCAUGCUGUCCCCUUGCUUAGGCCUUGGGGAAAAUAAAUGUGCCCAGGAGUAUCUUCGUUGGGAUAAUCCCUGUUGGGAGUGUCCCUGUGGGGAGCUGGGAGCAUCCCAGUUGGGGCAGUUUCCAUUGGGAGCAUCCCAGUUGGGAUCAUUUCCAUUGGGAUCGUCCCAGUUGGGGCAGUUUCCAUUGGGAGCAUCCCAGUUGGGGCAAUCUGCAUUGGGAGCAUCCCUCGGGGGACUCUCCCUAUCAGAAGCUUAGCAAAGCAAAGACCUCCAGUUUGCUUAGAAUUUGGAAGAGUACCACCAUCUUUCCCAAAUCUCUUCCCCAAAGCAAUAUGGUGCUCAAAGGGGCGUUCAGGAAGAAUCACAGCCUGCAUGCAACAGCACAUCACAGCUGCGGCGUGGAUGCAUUCCACCCAAACACUUCUGUGUUGUCCAACAGUUGCAAGUCAACAUUUCAAACCCAUUUCUCACUGCAGUGGAAGAACCCUUUCUACUUUUUUUCAGUAAUACGAAGAGGAAGUCCGACUUACCUCACCUUCAUAGUAUGUGAGCACCGUGUACACUGUGGGCAUUAGCGUGGUGUUGUCAUAAUAGUACUCUGCAGUGGCAUAUAAGUAAUCACCUGGAAUGAAAGCAAGGCCCCGUGAGCCCAUUUUGCAUCUACAUCCAGUGUAACCCAUUGGCUUGGCGGGAUGCAAUCUCAUGUGAUGAUGAGAACUGCAGGGGCCAGACCAGCUCCAUCAAAACAGCUCUGGAUUGUCCUUUGAAUCCUCUUUCCUACCCCAGCUCCCCACCCCACCUCGCUUUCAUCGCUCAAUUUGCACAAAAUUAGCCCAAAACGAAGAUUGCUUACUGUAGUGAGAUGCGUAGUCGUAUAAAAACUUGGUCAUUUCCUCGUCUCCUAUCUCAGCAUUUCCUAAAAAAAAAAAAAAACACAAAAAAAGAAACGCUUUGCCUUCCCCCCUGCACGGAGCUCUGUGGGAUGUGGUUUUGCAGGAAUGGUUUCGCUGAUUUAUUGGCUCUUUGUGCAAAAGUUGCUUCUCCCCCCCUCCCCCCGUGGGAGUAACGGAUUCCCAAUCUGGUCCGUAAUUAAAUCAAGGUCGUGGAACAAAAGAUAUCAAGUUACGGGCUGGCCGCCGCGUCGCGUUUUCCUGUAUUUUAGGGACGGAUUUGAAGGAAAGGAGCGGAGUAAUGGGGGCUGUGGGGCUCAUCCCCAGUGCCCACAUCCAUCCUGGGUGCCCUCGGGGUGCUGCGAGCGCUCACCUGGCAUUUCCUCCCUGCCAAGCCACUAUAAAUGGACGCACACACAGCUCAAUCCAAACCACGGCAAGCCCCCGCUCGUUUCCCUUCUCCACAUCGGACUUUUGUAUACAGGGAGCCAAUUGGGAAUGGACGAUUUGACACCCAUCACGUUAAGGUUGCAUGGGGGUUGGUAGCUGCCCCUCUCUGCCCUACAACCUCCCCAGCCUGGACCCAGUGGUUCUCAGCGUCACACCCCACCGUUAGGGAGCAUGACGACUCUGAAUCCCAUUUCCCUGCCUCUAAAGCUGCUCACAUCCCAUCAAUCUCCAGUUUUUGGAGCUCCAUUUCGCUUCAUACCCACCCAGCCGACAUCCUAUGGCCAUGGGAAAAGCUGUGCUCCUUUUGGCUCCAGUUGGAUAAACUCCCAGCACUUUCUCCCCACGCAUUCUGAGAAAGCUAUUUGCUGUAUUUACGCUGGAGCCACGCUAAGAAUAAUACGGGAAAUAAUACGGGAGUCACAGCGAGGAGCUUUCAUCCCAAAAUCCCAUUUAACCCCUCAAAGGACACCCAGCUCCAUUCCUUGGCUGCCUGGGAAGCAGGAGCAGCUCUGGGUGCUGCCACUGCCCAACUUGACUCCAGUUCUGCCUUCCCAAAGCACAGCUGGAGCAAUCCUGCCUUUUCCCUCGCCCUGUUUCUAUCUCUCUUACAGCUCUCAGCUGUACGGAGCGUUCAUUUGAGUGCAGUACAGCAAGCAUUGCAAUCUAUCAAACCUUGAGCACACGCUUUGCUGUGACCCAGAGCUCCCAGCUGCUCUCAGUUCGCCCCCCCAGUUGCUGAGAAAACACCCCCAAAACCCUUCAGCCCCGCACAGCAUCUCAGCAUCACAACCACCCCCAAAGCAGCAAAUAGGAAUUUGUAAGUAAAAAAAAAGAAAUGCCUUUUUACCCAACGUAAAAUGAAGAAGGAUGAGUGAUGCCCAUGCAAAGUUCAUCAUCCUAUACGUCCCGGCGUCGCCUUCGGACGCUGCUCCGCACUGCUCAGUUCCUUCAGACGUCCCGGAGCUGCAGCCCAGAGGCAGGAAAUGACACUGAGGGGGGUUGGACGAGCUGCCCCCGCACUGGGAUGUAGGAUGUGGGACACCGGGACCCCCGCACCACGCAGGGUCAGGUUGGGCUGUGGGCUGUGCUGCUGAGAGCUGCUGAUUUGGGGCCGGAGCUCUCAGAUUCGGUUCCCCCUCCCUUCAACACUUUGGGGAUUUUUAUUUUUAUUUUUAUUUUUUCUCCAGCUGUCAUUUCGCUUCCUGCCUCAGUUUCCCUAUCAGAAAGAAGAAACGUGACCAGCUGCAGGCUGAGGUUAUCUGAGUCCCGUGGAGCAGAGGAAUGCCUUCUUUUGGGGAGGCUCUUUGCGCAUCCACACAUGCGGUGAUCAGAGAAGGAAAUACGAGGGGAAGCAAAAUGCUGCUGCUCUGCUUUCUGGGGUGGACGGUUCAGAGCCUUCUCCAAAAAGGCAACGGAGCGCAGGCUGGACUCAGGAGGAGGGGAGAGGAGAUGGAGCAGGAAGGUGUGGACGAUCCCAUCCUCUGCUUGAAGCAUUGCAUCAUUUCCCACCUUCCAUAGGAGGAAGCAAAACUCGAAGGGAAAUUAAAAUCACGGGCAAAUGAGGCCGUCCUGCUCACAAUGAGAUUAGCAGGAUUCCUGAGGAAACAGCCACUGUGGGGAAUUUCUCUCCUAAACAGAGCUUUCCUGCCCUUCCCUGCUGCUCUGUAAACAGCGCUGGCUUUGGGCUGGGCUGAGCGGCGCGAUGGCAGACGUUGGGAGUGGAAAAAAUAAAGCCAUUUUAAACGGAGGUUCAAUCAACCACCAAACCCAAUGCGCUGCAGGUUCCCACUCUCCGUGCCCACAUCCGCUGCACUCGGAGCACCGGCUCCACUCCACGCUGCUCUGUGGCAGCUUUUAGGCUCAGAUGGGCACCGAGAGCAGCUCUGCACCGCUGGGGCUCAGAUCUGAAACCGCACGUUGGAGCCAUUUGCUUUGCAAGCUCUGUUCUCUUAAUUAAACACAGCCCCGCUCGCUCCCGUGUGGUUUCCAGGCUGGAAUGCGUUCGUUUCCCUUCUUCUCCCCCAGAAGCAGCUGCUCAGAGUCGCACGGAAGCACCGUUUGCUCCCAACGUUUGGGAGCAGCUUCCUAUUCAGGAAUGGGAAAGCAGGGAGGAAGGGGGAUGCGCUCAGCACAGAGCUGAGUGUUUGGGGCAAAGGAGAAAGAGGGGACCUGAGGACAGGGAGCGCCGCGAGCGUCCCCACUGUGUGCCAUGGCAGCUCUGUGCUGCUGCACAGCAAGCAAAAGGUGGAGAGAAACGGAGCUUUGCUUCAUUCCUGAGGUUUAAAAGGACCUUUUCCCAUUUUCCCCAGCAUUUCCAUGUAAUGGCUGUCAUGUGGGGCAGCACGAGGUGGGGAUGGGCUGAAAGUUGGGCUGGGAAGCAGCACGUAGCGGACCCCCAUAGGGAUCUUAGGGGGGCGAAGGGGGUCUGGGGCUGUGCUGGGCAAUGGCAUUGCAUGGGAGCACAGUUCUUUUCCAGAGCACUUUCGCUUUGGGCUGAGAAAAGCCUGAAAUGGGCUUUUCCAGAGGCCUGCAUGGCGGCGAUGCUGUCAUCCCCCAUCGUUCGCUUUGGAUGUGCCAGAAGAGGAACGCGUUUUCUGCUGGAAUUUCUUCCCACACAAGUUCCCAUAGAGCUGCAGACCCCCACAGCGCAGAGCUGCUGCCCGCCGGGCUCCCAUCGCCCUGAGCUUCUCUGCGGUCUCCCUUGUCUUGCUUUUAUUUCUCAUUGCAAAGGUGGGGAAGGGGAUCUCAGUGCCACCGCUGCGUAUUCGGCCUGCAAAACAGGGGGGAGAGGUGUUAAAACA